rnacentral:rRNA from 1 species
AAUACAUCGGAACAUGUCCUGUAGUGGGGGAUAGCCCGGCGAAAGCCGGAUUAAUACCGCAUACGAUCUGAGGAUGAAAGCGGGGGACCUUCGGGCCUCGCGCUAUAGGGUUGGCCGAUGGCUGAUUAGCUAGUUGGUGGGGUAAAGGCCUACCAAGGCGACGAUCAGUAGCUGGUCUGAGAGGACGACCAGCCACACUGGGACUGAGACACGGCCCAGACUCCUACGGGAGGCAGCAGUGGGGAAUUUUGGACAAUGGGCGAAAGCCUGAUCCAGCAAUGCCGCGUGUGUGAAGAAGGCCUUCGGGUUGUAAAGCACUUUUGUCCGGAAAGAAAUCCUUGGUUCUAAUAUAGCCGGGGGAUGACGGUACCGGAAGAAUAAGCACCGGCUAACUACGUGCCAGCAGCCGCGGUAAUACGUAGGGUGCAAGCGUUAAUCGGAAUUACUGGGCGUAAAGCGUGCGCANGCGGUUUGCUAAGACCGAUGUGAAAUCCCCGGGCUCAACCUGGGAACUGCAUUGGUGACUGGCANGCUAGAGUAUGGCAGAGGGGGGUAGAAUUCCACGUGUAGCANUGAAAUGCGUAGAGAUGUGGAGGAAUACCNAUGG